rnacentral:rRNA from 1 species
GAUGAACGCUGGCGGCGUGCCUAAUACAUGCAAGUCGAGCGAACGGACGAGAAGCUCGCUUCUCUGAUGUUAGCGGCGGACGGGUGAGUAACACGUGGAUAACCUACCUAUAAGACUGGGAUAACUUCGGGAAACCGGAGCUAAUACCGGAUAAUAUUUUGAACCGCAUGGUUCAAAAGUGAAAGACGGUCUUGCUGUCACUUAUAGAUGGAUCCGCGCUGCAUUAGCUAGUUGGUAAGGUAACGGCUUACCAAGGCAACGAUGCAUAGCCGACCUGAGAGGGUGAUCAGCCACACUGGAACUGAGACACGGUCCAGACUCCUACGGGAGGCAGCAGUAGGGAAUAUUCCGCAAUGGGCGAAAGCCUGACGGAGCAACGCCGCGUGAGUGAUGAAGGUCUUCGGAUCGUAAAACUCUGUUAUUAGGGAAGAACAUAUGUGUAAGUAACUGUGCACAUCUUGACGGUACCUAAACAGAAAGCCACGGCUAACUACGUG